GCCCGCUGCAAAUGUUUGCACCUGUCCUAAGUCAGGAAUCUGAUGUACAGUAGUUGUCGUUUGUUUAUGUAAUUUAUACGUGUUUCUCGUUUCUCUUUUUUUUUAAUUAGAUUAGACCGUUGGUUUUCCCGUUUGAAUGGUUUUACACCAGUAAUUUUGGGGCCCUUUAUAGCUUGUUGUUCGGUGUGAGCCAAGGCUCCGUGUUGAAGGCCGUACAUUGACCUAUAAUGGUUUACUUUUUUAAA
rnacentral:lncRNA from 1 species